AUUAGUUUUUUAAUUGAAGGCUAGAAUGAAUGGUUGGACAAGAAAUAAUCUGUCUUAACUAAAUAUAUUGAACUUAACUUUUAAGUGAAAAGGCUUAAAUAAUUUGAAGGGACGAUAAGACCCUAUAAAACUUUAUAUUUAUAAAUUAAUAGUUAAUUUUAUUUAAAUAUAUUAUUUUAAAAUAUUUUGUUGGGGUGACAAGGAUAAAAUUAAAGAUAACUGUCCUUUUUUAUUACAGUAAUAUCUGGUUGGGUGAUCCUUAAAAUGGAUUAUAAGAUUAAGUUACUUUAGGGAUAACAGCGUAAUUUUUUUUAAGAGUUCUUAUCGACAAGAAAGUUUGCGACCUCGAUGUUGAAUUAAAAGAUCUUUAUAGAGUAGAGACUAUAAAAGAGGGUCUGUUCGACCUUUAAAUUUUUACAUGAUUUGAGUUCAGACCGGUGUAAG
rnacentral:rRNA from 1 species